ACAGUCGUGGCCGAGUGUUUAAGGCGAUGGACUUGAAAUCCAUUGGGGUCUCCCCGCGCAGGUUCGAAUGCUGUCGGCUACG